rnacentral:tRNA from 1 species
UCGGCUGUAGCUCAGUGGUAGAGCGCCUGACUGUUAAUCAGGAUGUCGCUGGUUCGACCCCAGCCAGUCGAGCCA